UACAGAGGUCUCAAGCGUUGUUCGGAUUCAUUGGGCGUAAAGGGUGCGUAGGUGGCGCUGUAAGUCGGGUGUGAAAUUUCGGAGCUUAACUCCGAAACUGCAUUCGAUACUGCGGUGCUUGAGGACUGGAGAGGAGACUGGAAUUCAUGGUGUAGCAGUGAAAUGCGUAGAUAUCAUGAGGAAUACCAGAGGCGAAGGCGGCUACCUGGACAAUUGCUGACGCUCAGGCACGAAAGCGUGGGGAGCAAAAGGG
rnacentral:rRNA from 1 species